rnacentral:rRNA from 1 species
CCUACGGGGCGCAGCAGUGGGGAAUAUUGCACAAUGGGGGAAACCCUGAUGCAGCGACGCCGCGUGGGUGAAGGAGCGUUUCGGCGCGUAAAGCCCUAUCGGCAGGGAAGAAGAUGACGGUACCUGACCAAGAAGCCCCGGCUAACUACGUGCCAGCAGCCGCGGUAAUACGUAGGGGGCAAGCGUUAUCCGGAUUUAUUGGGUUUAAAAGGUGCGUAGGCGGACUGUUAAGUCAGCGGUAAAAGCCCGGGGCUCAACCCCGGCGAGCCGUUGAAACUGGCUGUCUUGAGAUGUCGAGAGGUAUG